rnacentral:rRNA from 1 species
UGCAAGUCGUACGGGCCGCAAGGCCAGUGGCGCAAGGGUGAGUAAGGCGACGGUAACCAACCCCACGGGUGGGUAUAGCCGCGGGAAACUGCGGGUAAUCCCCAGCGACGCACGGGGCCGGCAUCGGCCCCCUGCCAAAGCCCUGGCGCCGUGGGACGGGCCGUCGUGGUAUUAGCUCGUUGGCGGGGUAACGGCCCACCAAGGCUGCGAUGCCUACCGGGCGUGCGAGCGUGGCCCGGCACACUGGGACUGAGACACUGCCCAGACUCCUACGGGAGGCUGCAGUCGAGAAUCUUCGGCAAUGGGCGCAAGCCUGACCGAGCGACGCCGCGUGGAGGACGAAGGCCUUCGGGUUGUAAACUCCUGUCGAGGGGGAAGAAGGCCCCGCGAGGGGCUUGACUGAUCCCUGGAGGAAGCACGGGCUAAGUUCGUGCCAGCAGCCGCGGUAAGACGAACCGUGCGAACGUUAUUCGGAAUCACUGGGCUUAAAGCGCGUGUAGGCGGGAAGGCACGUCCGUCGCUGAAAUCCCCCGGCUCAACCGGGGAACGGGCGCGGAUACGACCUCCCUGGAGGGACGUAGGGGGACCUGGAACUUCCGGUGGAGCGGUGAAAUGCGUUGAGAUCGGAAGGAACGCCCGUGGCGAAAGCGAGGUCCUGGACGUCUGCUGACGCUGAGACGCGAAAGCCAGGGGAGCGAACGGGAUUAGAUACCCCGGUAGUCCUGGCGUAAACGAUGGGCACUGGGUAGGGGGCUCGCCAUGGGCUCCCUGCGUAGGAA